rnacentral:other from 1 species
CGGGCACUGCCCGGUGCGUCGUGUAGGUUAAUCCCUGGGGCGAUAAACAUCCUAAAGGGAGCUGUCACUGUCCGGGAUCCUGGUUUCGGACACACGGCGCCCACCUGGCACUAUGGCGCCAGAGGAUGACAUGGACACGACGGCCAUGGCGGUCCCGUC